UCUAUAAUUUACAAAACCAAGUAACUAAAUAGUAUUUGUAGUACAUAAAAUAAUAGGUAUUUAACCCAUUGAACAAAAGUUUAUUAUUUUUUGAUUUUCAACGUUUCUUCCUUCACGCUCUGCAGAUUUUCUUCAGGAAAUUGUUUGACUUGGGUGGCUUCAAAUAAACCGAUGCACUUGGCCUUUUUUGUUAUUAAAUUAAGCCUUACUAGUAGGUACUGACG